UGCUAGACUAUGUCCUUGGGGUCUUGGUCAUAAAACUGUAAGAAGCUCAAUGUGGAUGGCACCAGUCAGCAGCAUCUCGGUGCUGUAUUACCUGACUGGUCCUAGCUUUUUUAGCUAAUUACAAAAACAGCCAAAUAGGUGGAGCGCUCUUUGCUGCUUGGGGGGUUUUUCACAGGGGUUUGAAAUUUGUUGGGGCUGGAUUUGGGAAAAGCUGGGCAGACUUUAAAGUAGAGCAAGCUCUUCGUUCAGUUCUCAUGAAAAAGUGAGUAAACCCAUCCACAAAAACCUUUCAUUUAUACGUUUUGUUAAUAGCAGUAGUUUAAGCUACAUCACAGUGAAGCGUCAUGCUUUUUUGUUAGCUCUGUAUAGGGUCAGGGUUACAUUUGAUUAGCAGUACAAAAAAGUUGUUGGUAGGAAAACACAAGCUCCAGCGCAAUAUUCAAUCUGACGACCAAACGCUUCACUCCCCUAUAAAUACCCUGUGACUGCUAAGUUGCCACCAGGGGCUGCAGCUUUAUAAGGCAAAGGCUGCCAAAUCGUUGGGAGAUAACAAUACUCCCAGCAAGCUUAUCGCUCCACUCAACACGAUUGAGUCAUAAUGUGUUAUCUCUUACAACCCCCGAAGACAACAGCAGCAGCCCACUCACUCAUGUGUAGAAUUCAGUUCACUUCAGCUGACAGUGAACUACUGGACACGAAGAAAUCGGCUUCAUUUGCAAUUCGCACUUUUGUCUGACGCUCCAAAUAUUGCAGUGAAAAGUAAGUUGGCAGAAACGUUUCAGUCGCUUUCUUAGGAGAUGUUAUUAACGCAGACAUGGAGGAUGCAUGACGGCAUGAUAAAACUGAGCUUUCCUGCCAUAAAUCAGUCCCGCCGGAGCUGAUUUCUGCAGAUUAUCUCGUAAAUCUGUGAAAUGAACAGACUAAAGUAUUAAACUAGUGUGAUAAACAACCUAAACAUGUGCCACUUAUAGAGAUUUAAAUCAAAAAGGACAUUUCAGAAGCCGGAAAUAGCAAUAUUUGGUAUGUUCGCUAAAAGAAAUUAUACAAACGAUGAAUCAGCUUUUCUGUGGUUGCCAGUUUUAUUUUUCUGCCGAUCUAAUAAUGCGAUUUAAUGCUUCUAAAAAAAAACAGAGUAAAAAAAAAGAGUUCCAGUCAUUCAGAUGCACACAUGACUACGUUUUUAGAUUCUAUCUGUUGGUCGGAUAAACCUCAACAUCUGAAUAUUUUACAUUUUGGGAAAGUAUGAAGCUUUUUUCUCCACAUUUUCACAUUUUUUUUUGCUGUUACACUUUUAAACAGCAAGUAACAUUAUAUUAAAAACCACCUAAAGAGGUAUGUUUUCAUGUCUGUUUUUAUUCCGCUUAGACUAAAACACGCUACGUCCUCUCGAUCAAACGGUGUGUGCAGCGAGGGAAGGUCGCAGGUGCAAAAGUGUGCAGCAGACAUCACUUUAUUCCAACCUUUGCAUUUCUUAUCACUAAAUCUUGAUAAUGGAUAAUGAGAGAUUUGCAGCCCAUUCCUUUUAACCUUUAACCCGGUAUCCGCGAGCCGCCGUAGCCGUCGUUGUGUCACAGCGCAAUGAGUCACGGCAUCAAAGAACAGCAGGUAAAAUAACAUCUUCUCCCGCAGCACAAUGCAAGCGCUAUUGAUCACGAACUAAGCCGACAGUAGCAUUGACUGAAAUUCUUAGGAUGAGUAGUCAGAGAUAGUCUUUAUCACGGGCGACUUUACAUCAAAACAACAGCAGGAAAUCUCUCCUGUAGAGCCUCUAAAAGCCUCGGAUGCCGAGACAUGAAUGGAAUUUUUUUUUUGAGGCACAGAGAUUUAAUCUUGUUAUAUUAUCCUGUAAGGAGCGCAGAGGGGCCUCACAGAAAAGAAGGAGAUGAAACCGCAACUUGGAAGUUUAGCGCUCGGAGAAGACGACGAACCGUUCAGUCCUCACAUGUAAACAUAUUCAGACUCGAUACCUGAUGGUGCGUGUAUAGUUUUCGGCACAUAUGCUGCGUUUCAGUUCAGGUCACAAUUUGGAAAUUCCCGGCCGCUUGCCCAUAAUUACAACCUUCUUAUGUUCCAGUGGUCCAGCUUGGAAAAACCAGGAAAGAAGCAUGGUUGCACACAUAAUUUAAAUAUUCUUUUCCAUGUUAGAGCGGGAAUAUGAUAAUUAGCAGUGUACACGACAAUGUUGACUCCCUAGUCUGUACAGUAUGUGCUGCUUUCCAGGUUGAAUUUAUAGUCACUCAGCGAAACAUCUGCACGAAAACCUCGAGUAAGUCCAGAUCAAAUGCGGUACAAAAAAUUUAAUUCCACCUUGGAAGUCUCGAAACCAUUAUUUUUCUCAUGUUCUGUUACUGUGAUCUAGGUGAUACCCUCUAGCUCUGUGCGUCAGCUGGAAUCUGAUUAAUCUUAAUGGAUUGGUCAAUCCAAUCUGGUCCAAGUGAACCUACAACGUCCUGGUUCGUAAGCAAAUAAAUUGAGAUUUGGUCACCAAUCACAUUCUUCCAAAAGUAAUGUAUCAAUUAAGAGCUUAAAAGAUGUUUAUAGUGAAGAAACUACAAAGAAUAAUUACCUGACGUUCCCUGGGGCUUAAAGGAACCCUGAAGGCAGAUAACUGCUAUGGUUUGUGAGCAAAAACUUUAGUGUUUCAUUGUCUGUACACAAUCAACUCGGCACUAAAUAAGAAAGAGUUGCAUUUAGUGGCUAACUGAUGAACGUAGAGGCGGAUAUUUCCCUCCGCUGGUGGUGGAGACCAAAAACAGAGCUAAAAGCUACAAGCAUGACUCCAUAGGAUCCAGUGCAACUGCUGGAUAUGUAAAUAAGCAACCGCUGCUGAUAAUAUAUCAACGUUUUUUUUUUUUUUUUUUUUUGUCUUUUGUUUUAAAAUAUCAAGAUGUUCAGUCUGUUACAGGUGCAGGUAUAUGUUUUUUUUUGCGGGAGAGAUUUGACGACACUGGAGCAAAAUUUUCGAGGAGCAAUCCAACAGCUGCCUUUCUGGGAAUGUGCUGCAUUUGCUCGUGAAUUAUUUAACAUGCACAUGGAAUAAUGUAACACUCCCUCCCCUGGACCGUGCGGUAGGACACACCAGGUUCUUUCUUUCACAGCCGGGUAACGGCGAACUCCAAAUCUCCAGCCUCAGCAAAUCCUACCAGCCGUCCACGGAAAGGUGCAUGACUUUACGCCCCGCCGCCCGCCUACGAGCACGACAAGUCCCACGGACUUUGCCCGGCCUUAUCUUUCUGGUUUUGUACAUUCAGCUUCAUCAUUUAACCUCUCAAACCCCUAAUAAAACUACUCUAGCUCUAAUAAUGACCGUGUGGCGCUAUAAAACGAGGUGUCCCAUCUCAACGGCACACGACCAGAGAGAUUAAACGUCAGAUUAAAAUUAAAUCAGAGCCACACGGACCUGCAGGAUUACAAAGAGAUAAAAGGGACGUUCACAGCAGAUGAAAGAGAAUAUCGCAGAGUUGAUUCAGCUACGUUUUCUAUUUUGAGGAGAAUCUAAGAGGAAACACAUGCUGUGACAACUUCCCAUUUCCGAACUUCAUGCUGCUGCCCAGCACUUCUUUGAUCAGAGUAAAUCCAAGUUGAGUCGUCGCUCUUUACCUGAGUCUUUGGAGAGAGGAGACACGAACUCCCAAGGGAAGAGUGUCGCUGUUGACCUCGGGGAGGUUACCGGAGAUCAGGAGUCCCGACGCGGGGCUCGUCCGGGAGCAAAGGACCGAGAGGACACCUGUGAGCGGCUGCUUAGGCAGAUCUUCCCAGAGACGGAGCGAAUUAACCCCGCCCCGCGUGUCAGUACAAAAAAAAAAAAAAAAAAACGGCCCCCAAGCUACUCGUAAACACACGCCCACGGUUCCUACUGAAGCAGCGUAGACCUGGCGCCCCCUGCUGGCAGGUGGAAGAAAGAAGGGUGUGCUUGGUUUUACUUUCUAUGGCGCAUGACCACUAGAUGGCGUCGUUAGGCUGAGCUACACUGGAGCUUCCUGGGACGUGUCUGCAAACAUUUGUUUUGUUUUUUAACUGAACUUGCAUGUAUAGUUGACAUUUAAUGCAUUCACGUCGUUCAAAUGGUUACAUUUUUUUCCCUUCAAUAAUAAGCAUAUAGACAGAUAUGAGGCUGCAUUAAUUUUUAACCCACUAGUACGAAAGAAUCAGCAGCAAAAUGAACUUACAUGAUCAAAACACGGAAAGCAGAGAUGAUUUUUGUUGUGUUUUUACACAGUGUGCAGUGUUGUAGUGUUUCUAUGUUGUUGUUUUUUUGUUCAUCAGCAUCGGAAAACAUUAUUAAACAGAAGAAUGAAAAAGAAUGAAGAAUGAGCUACUUCAUCAAACAAAUGUUGUAGAGUGAAAAUUACAACAUUUUCCUUCAAAAAUGUAGUAGAAAAAAAUUAUGAAAGUGCAUAAAUCACAUCAAUGGCAAAAGUACUCAUUUCCCCAAAAUGUACUACGCAGUGGUCAAAUGUAACUAAGUAUAUUUACUCAAGUGCUGCACUUAGAUACUAUGUUAAGCUGCUGGCAGUCUACUAUAUUUCAGAGAAAGCUGUACUUCAAAGCAUUUGGGAUUGAGGAGAGGGUCCUCUGUGGAUCAUCCCACAGACACUUGAUCGGUUCGGGAUCUAGUGAAUGAGUUGAGUUGUUCCUGAUCUGUUUUUGUGUGUGUCUGUGUCGGGCUGCAUCCUGCCGCAAGGAGCGUCACUGGUAUGGGGUGGGGCUCUAAAUCAGAGGACAACAAAAACCCGUACAGUCUGCAGGUGUGCCACACACUUUACCACUCAAGCGUUUUGUUUUUCCAAGUUUUUAAUUUUUUCUUGAUGCAAGUGAAACUAUUUAGAGCAAACAAACUAUUUUGCAUUUGCUGCAUGUAACCUAAUUUCACACAAGGACGCCUAUUAGACCCGACAGAGGUGUUACAGUCAAAUUUAUUCAACCAUGAACGCUUCAUAUAAACAAGUAGUGUGCACACAGGGAAGACCUCGUCCUUAAGGUCCUGAUCCUAAACCAAACGUCUACCUGAGAUUCAGUUCAGUUCACCUAAUCACGUGGUAUUCACAGAACAAUGCAGAGAAACAAAUCUAGACUAUUUAAUUUUCUGUGGCAUGUGUUAAUGCUACAGUACAACAUGUCGGACAGUUUUGGCAAUUCUACAAGCUACAAUGUUUGCCAGACUGUUAUACAAAAGAAAAGUUCAAACUCAUCAGAUUUCCCUUUCCUUCUUCUUCUUCUUUUCUUUUUUUUGGUUAGUUUAGUUAUUUUUUUUUUUAUAUAUAAAUCUUUACUAAAACUCCUUACAAGUCUUUAAUAUUGCUCUUGCUACAUUGAAAAAAUAGAAAAAUUACAUCUGGAUAGUAAGCGGUGGUUGUGGUGUAUUUAUAAAGAGCCUUGCUCUUGGGUGUUCAUGGCUAUGUUUCAAUAGUCCUUAGCUGCUUACUCUCUGUGUUCCCUUUCCUCUGUAAUAGCCAGCUUCACAUCAGCGAUUGCAGAAGAAGGUACGAAGCAAAGAACAAGACGUCAAAGAGUUUUUAAAAGGCUCAUCAGCGAGAAAAUAGCCUAGGAUUCUGCAGAAGUGCUGGGUGUCAUCUGAUCGUCCACUCCCUGAGCUUCGUCCUCUGCCGCCGCAGCCGCCGCUGCUGCUGCUGCUGCUACUGUGUCUGUUGCUACUUCCUGUUCGGUGGUCGCUAAAGCAGUGUCUGUGUCGGAGGCUUCGAAAGACUCGCCCCCCAGGUCAGCCAGUUUGAUGUAGCCCUUGCUGUUGGAGCGCUCCAGCCGGGGGCAGCUGAAGCGCCUGGCCCUGUCGCCUUGGCGACACGCAGACACGGACAUGCUGCAGCGGCGCGCGGACCUGGGCUGAUCCGUGAGGGAGUUGAGCGACAGCCGUGACCCCAUCGCCCUGGCAACAGGUGACGGAGGAAACAGUUGGGUCCACUGCGGUUCGGCCUGGGCCUGCAGCGCCCCCUCUUGGCUGGCCGCGUCCGUGGACACGUCCUCGUGGCUCUGGUGAGGCGAGGGGCGCUCCGACGCCGAGGCCUCCCUCUGCUUCGCGUCCGUCUCGACGACCUGGUUGCCGCCGCUGCCUCCGCUGGCCGGCCCCUCCUCGCUAGCGUUUUCGGCCGCGGCCUCGACGACGACCUCUUUCUCCGAGCGGCCCUCCGCCUCCGCCCUCUCGGACUCCUCCACCUCACAGUUGUUCAGUUUGAUCACAGGGAGGGUGAAAGCGUUCACAGAGGAGGUGACGAUAGAAGUGGUCUCCCACUGGCGGGGCUGCGGCGCCUGCUCGCUGCUAUUGCUGUAGUCUUUGUAGAUGCUGUAGACGGUGUCCGUGAAGGUCUGGACGUCUCUGGACCAGCUGCGCGGCCUGCUGGCCAGCGAGGCGCGCCUGAACACCUCGUCGCCGUCCAGCUCGCUUUGGAAACCGAGGCCGGUGCUGGGCCAGGAGCUGCGGGUGAGCAUCCCGCUAGCUGGGAACGAACCGGACGGGCCCUCUGCGCUCUUGGCCUGGGUGUAGUUCACCAGGCCGUUGAGAGGCGAGUACUCCUUCGAUCGUAUGCUGUGCAGAUCUAUCACCGUGGAGUAGAUAUCCCUCAGGUUGAUGAUUUUAGUUUUCUUGUCGCGGUUUUCGUGGAGGACUGCGUUGGCGCAGAUGAAGAGAAAAAUGCCGAUUCCCAUCACCAGCGGUCCGAAGACUUUAAGAUUGUCUGAGUACAGGUAAUUAUCCAGGAAGUCACAGAGGAAGCCACAGUGAGUAGACGGGCCCGGGGCACUGCUGUUAGAAUUACUCUGGUUGAUAGCAUUCGUCUGGCCAGACAGAGACUUAUCACGUGUCAAAUUAGAGGAAACGGGAGGACUUUUGGAAUAGCUCAUUCUGUUUCCAUGGUACGCUCCCAUUCUCCGGCGCUCCUGGUACUCCUGCUGGUUCUGGCUGGGCCAGUAGCCCAGCACCGCCAUGGAAAUCCCGACCAUGAGAACGAUAACUCCGACGGCGGCCACCAAGCCGGCCGGGGAGCAGAGGUUGAGCUUCCCCUUCACCACCACCACGUCGUUCUUCUUCUUUUUCUUGGGUUUCCUCUUCCGCUUGUUCUCCGCUCGGUUCUUGGACCGCAGCGAGUCCUGGCGCCUGUUCAUGCGCAGCAGGCCACCCGUGGCUAUCAUGGCGGCGGUUGGACAGCAGGCUCGUCAAUCAGUC